rnacentral:lncRNA from 1 species
CUAUCCGUGAAAAGAAGCGAGCCAGAAGGAAUAGCAGAGGCUCUUGCUUUCACCAGGGCACCUUGCAGCCCAGUGGUGAGCUUGCCCUGCCUUGGAUCCCAGUAGCAUGUUGGGAACACUCAGAAGAAAUAACAUACUCUUCAUGUGAGCCAGCUCCUUCACUUUUGCUGCCCUGGUUCUCCUAGGCUCAGAUUUGUGUUGUCUGGAUCCUGUCAACAGGAAGGCUUUCUGAGCUGGUCUGUUUUUUGGCUGGCUUGGCUAACGGUGCUAUUGAAGCAAGAAGAUGAAGCAGCGUCCUGUGAAACAGCAGAGGUGGGAGCAGUGUCCUGAGGAAGGAAGCUGAAAUGUGAAUAGGCAUCGCAUCCCAUAUAAAUUGUCUCUUGGCAGGGCUGUGAAGGUAAGUUUGCGUUUCUGUUAACCCUGUUCUUCUUCGAUGGAUUUAUAUGAGGCUACAGUCUUUAGGGAUGUUACUUCAGCCUUUAAAUGACAAGAUUGGUUGUCUUUCAUUUCUGAAGACCAAGGGGAAAUAGAGGAAAAGGUGCUGAAGAAGUUCCCACACAGAGGUGACUUGGGGAUACCUGAGAUUAAAA